ACAGUGGAACCUUGUAAGAAAAGAAUAUG
rnacentral:piRNA from 1 species